rnacentral:lncRNA from 1 species
UCUCAUGUGUCCGAAACCAAUGAACUGACGUUUUGCAGGCAACAUGUUUAGUUGCCUUGUCAAAUGGUUGAGUUUAUGGUGGAGGUUCAAAACUUUGAGUUCGUGUCCUUUGGAUCAUACGCUAGGCAAUGAAAUGGCAUUUUGACCACUGUUGUCGUGGAUUUGGAGAGAUGACUCUGGUCCCAUGCCCGCUACUGGGACAUCACCUUCUUCUUUAUCUUCAUGAUCAUCUAGAAGCGGUAUAAGUUCCAUUCAUCUCCAAGACCAAAGUUCACCAUUUUUCCAAUGGCAAGAGGCUACAGCGCUCAGAAGGAGUCGAUCUGAGGCACACUUCCACAAUCUCACCGUUGGACGUCACUUUCAUCAGUUUGCGUGUUCUGUUCGAUAAAGCGCCGCAGAGCUUGAAAGACCUCCCCGAAAUAACCGUCACAUUCUUAUGCUAGAAGAUCCCGGAACGUGGCUCUAGCCAAGCGCAUAGCAGCCCAUCAUUCACGCGGACACUAAACAACGAGUAAACACUUUCGAUUACAAUACCUUGAUAUCACAAGACACUCAUCGUGUAGGAUAGCGACCAUGAAACCAGGUCAGACUCCAACAAAAACAACCCGCAAACCUUUCUCGUUACAUGCAAAUUGCCAAUCAACGCCAUGAUUCUUCAUGACACUCACUGUUUCAGAA